rfam:Homo sapiens chromosome 3, GRCh38 reference primary assembly.
GCCGGGCGCGGUGGCUCACGCCUGUAAUCCCAGCAUUUUGGGAGGCGGAGGCGGGCGGAUCACCUGAGGUCAGGAGUUCGAGCCCAGCCUGGCCAACAUGGUGAAACCCUGUCUCUA